CCUAUGAAAUCGAGUGGCAAACGGGUGAGUAACGCGUAAACAACCUGCCCUUCGGAUGGGGAUAACAGCCGGAAACGGCUGCUAAUACCGAAUACGAUCUUUUCGUCGCAUGACGGAAAGAAGAAAGGAUGGCCUCUAUACAAAGCUAUCGCCGAAGGAGGGGUUUGCGUCUGAUUAGCUGGUUGGAGGGGUAACGGCCCAACAAGGCGAUGAUCAGUAGCCGGUCUGAGAGGAUGAACGGCCACAUUGGGACUGAGACACGGCCCAGACUCCUACGGGAGGCAGCAGUGGGGAAUCUUCCGCAAUGGACGAAAGUCUGACGGAGCAACGCCGCGUGAGUGAAGAAGGUCUUCGGAUUGUAAAGCUCUGUUAUACGGGACGAAAAAGACGGAUGCCAACAGUAUCCGUCCGUGACGGU
rnacentral:rRNA from 1 species